UGGGGAAUAUUGCACAAUGGGCGCAAGCCUGAUGCAGCAACGCCGCGUGAGGGACGACGGCCUUCGGGUUGUAAACCUCUUUUGGCAGGGAAGAAGCGAAAGUGACGGUACCUGCAGAAAAAACACCGGCUAACUACGUGCCAGCAGCCGCGGUGAUACGUAGGGUGCAAGCGUUGUCCGGAAUUAUUGGGCGUAAAGAGCUCGUAGGCGGUUUGUCGCGUCUGCUGUGAAAACCCGAGGCUCAACCUCGGGCCUGCAGUGGGUACGGGCAAACUAGAGUGCGGUAGGGGAGAUUGGAAUUCCUGGUGUAGCGGUGGAAUGCGCAGAUAGCAGGAGGAACACCGAUGGCGAAGGCAGAUCUCUGGGCCGUAACUGACGCUGAGGAGCGAAAGCAUGGGGAGCGAACA
rnacentral:rRNA from 1 species